AAAACCAGGUGGCCCUCCCGCAAACAAGUUCUGCAUUCCUUUGAAAAAUGUGAUACUGAAAAAAGCUUCUCACUUUUCUAUUCUAUUAGGUGCUGAUCCAAGCCAAACUGGAGAACAAAUGAACGAAGAACAGUUGUGGGAACUCCACGUGAGAGAGCGAAGGCAAAGAGAAGAGCAAAGGCAGAAUGAACGGCAUGAAGCACUAGAGAGGGAGAGAAGAGAACUGGAAAAACUGGAGCAUGAGAGGAGGAUGAUUAAAGAAUCACUGAAGAUUGAAAUGGAAGAAUUAGAAAAAAGUGCUCAAGAAAAGAGAGACAAAUCGACACAUGGUGAAAAUCCUUUAGAGAAAUACAUGAGAAUCAUCCAGCAGGAAGGGGAGCAGACAAGUGCAGAUAAGAGCUCGAAAGAAUCAGGCAAAGAAUGCUCACUAGCGGACACGCUAGCACCUAGUGACAAGGAUAAAAGCCUUUCUCAUGAAGACCCAGAUGACAUGUGGUAAUCACGUUAUCUGUACAGCUUACAUACAACAUAAAGUCAAGAA
rnacentral:lncRNA from 1 species